CCUACGCGUGGCAGCAGUAGGAAAUCUUCCACAAUGGACGAAAGUCUGAUGGAGCAACGCCGCGUGAGUGAAGAUGGGUUUCGGCUCGUAAAGCUCUGCUGGUAGUGAAGAAAGAUAGAGGUAGUAACUGGCCUUUAUUUGACGGUAAUUACUUAGAAAGUCACGGCUAACUACGUGCCAGCAGCCACGGUAAUACGUAGGUGGUAAGCGUUGUCCGGAUUUAGUGGGCGUAAAGCGGGUGCAGGCGGUGCAAUAAGUCUGAUGUGAAAGCCUUCGGCUCAACCGGAGAAUUGCAUCAGAAACUGUUGACCUUGAGUGCAGAAGAGGAGAGUGGUACUCCAGGUGUAGCGGUGGAAUGCGUAGGUAUAUGGAAGAACGCCAGUGGCGAUGGCGGCUCUCUGGUCUGCAACUGACGCUGAGGCUCGAAAGCAUGGGUAGCGAACAGGAUUAGAUACCCGAGUAGUC
rnacentral:rRNA from 1 species